rnacentral:rRNA from 1 species
UACAUAGGGUGCAAGCGUUGUCCGGAAUUAUUGGGCGUAAAGAGCUCGUAGGUGGUUUGUUACGUCGGAUGUGAAAACCUGAGGCUCAACCUCAGGCCUGCAUUCGAUACGGGCAAACUAGAGUUUGGUAGGGGAGACUGGAAUUCCUGGUGUAGCGGUGGAAUGCGCAGAUAUCAGGAGGAACACCAAUGGCGAAGGCAGGUCUCUGGGCCAAUACUGACACUGAGGAGCGAAAGUCUGGGGAGCGAACAGG